AGGGCACCACCAGGAGUGGAGCCUGCGGCUUAAUUUGACUCAACACGGGAAAACUUACCCGGCCCGGACACUGGAAGGAUUGACAGAUUGAGAGCUCUUUCUUGAUUCAGUGGGUGGUGGUGCAUGGCCGUUCUUAGUUGGUGGAGCGAUUUGUCUGGUUAAUUCCGAUAACGAACGAGACUCUAGCCUACUAAAUAGACCAGAGGCUUCUUAAAACACGUCUCUGGCUGCUUCUUAGAGGGACAGGCGGCGAUUCAGCCGCACGAAACAGAGCAAUAACAGGUCUGUGAUGCCCUUAGAUGUCCGGGGCCGCACGCGCGCUACACUGAAGUGAUCAGCGUGCUUUUUGUACCCUGCUCUGCCAAGAGUGGGUAACCCAAUGAACCUUCUUCGUGAUUGGGAUAGGGGAUUGUAAUUAUUCCCCUUGAACGAGGAAUUCCCAGUAAGCGCGAGUCAUAAGCUCGCGUUGAUUACGUCCCUGCCCUUUGUACACACCGCCCGUCGCUACUACCGAUUGAA
rnacentral:rRNA from 1 species